GACGAACGCUGGCGGCGUGCCUAAUACAUGCAAGUCGAGCGGACUUUCAAGAAGCUUGCUUUUUGAAAGUUAGCGGCGGACGGGUGAGUAACACGUGGGCAACCUGCCUGCAAGACGGGGAUAACUCCGGGAAACCGGGGCUAAUACCGGAUAAUAUCUUCCUUCGCAUGAAGGAAGGUUGAAAGGCGGCGCAAGCUGCCGCUUGCAGAUGGGCCCGCGGCGCAUUAGCUAGUUGGUGAGGUAACGGCUCACCAAGGCGACGAUGCGUAGCCGACCUGAGAGGGUGAUCGGCCACACUGGGACUGAGACACGGCCCAGACUCCUACGGGAGGCAGCAGUAGGGAAUCUUCCGCAAUGGCCGAAAGUCUGACGGAGCAACGCCGCGUGAGCGAAGAAGGUCUUCGGAUCGUAAAGCUCUGUUGUCAGGGAAGAACAAGUACCGUUCGAACAGGGCGGUACCUUGACGGUACCUGACCAGAAAGCCACGGCUAACUACGUG
rnacentral:rRNA from 1 species